rnacentral:rRNA from 1 species
UACGGAGGGUGCAAGCGUUAUCCGGAUUUACUGGGUUUAAAGGGUGCGUAGGUGGAUAAUUAAGUCAGUGGUGAAAUCUUCAGGCUUAACCUGGAAACUGCCAUUGAUACUAUUUAUCUUGAAUACUUUGGAGGUAAGCGGAAUAUGUCAUGUAGCGGUGAAAUGCUUAGAUAUCUGGAGGAAUACCGGUGGCGAAGGCGGCAUCCUGGACCAUUACUGACGCUGAGGCGCGAAAGCGUGGGGAGCAAACAGG